CUUAAACGAAGAAAAUUGAAGCCGGAGAAGAGGGCUCUUCAUUUGGAAGGAGCUAUACUAUCUUAUCCAGAUCGUCCAACAAACAAACGAUGGAUCGGUAUCAGAAGGUCGAGAAACCUAGAGCUGAGCAAGCAAUUGAUGAGAAUGAAAUCCGAAUUACUAGCCAGGGGAGGAUGCGAAGCUAUAUCACAUAUGCCAUGACUUUGCUUCAGGAAAAAGGCUCUUCAGAAAUUGUGUUUAAAGCAAUGGGUAGAGCCAUCAACAAGACUGUUACAAUUGUGGAAUUGAUAAAGAGACGAAUUGUUGGUCUUCAUCAAAAUACAUCCAUUGGAUCCACAGACAUAACUGACACUUGGGAACCCUUGGAGGAAGGAUUACUUCCUCUUGAGACCACAAGGCAUGUUUCAAUGAUCACCAUAACUCUCUCCAAGAAGGAGUUGAAUACAUCAUCUAUUGGGUAUCAACCACCAUUGCCUGCUGACCAGGUGAAGGUGUUGAAUGAAUUUGAAUAUGAUGGAGAGGGAUCACCAACUGCAAGGGGAAGGGGUCGUGGUGGGAGGGGAAGGGGAAGGUCUAGAGCUGUACCCGGAAAUGGUUAUGCGCCAGAUGAGUAUGAUGAUGGGGGUUGGGAUGGUCCAAGUGGUUAUCCCAGGGGGAGGGGACGAGGAAGAGGCCGCAAUUUUCGUGGUCGUGGAAGGGGUAGCUAUGGAAAUGCCCCUUUCAUGGAUACUCAGCAGGAUGCAGGAGGAUAUAAUCAAGAAUCCCCUCGUGGCAGGGGUCGCAGUUUCCGUGGUCGUGGAAGGGGGGGUUACAAUAAUGGCCCUUAUAUGGAUACUCAGCAGGAUACUGGGGGGUACAAUCAAGAAUCUCCGAGGGGAAGGGGACGUGGUUUUCGUGGCCGUGGAAGGGGUGGUUACAAUAAUGACCCAUAUAUGGAUUCUCAACAAGAUGCAGGAGGUUACAAUCAAGAAUUUCCCAUGCAAGGGAGAGGGCGUGGUCGUGGGAGGGGAAGUCGUGGAAGAGGUCGCGGGUUCAGAUCAAACAGGCCAAUGCAGGCUGCAGCAACCGGUGGUGGUGAUUGAAAGCAGCAACAAAACCCCCCAUCUUCAUCAAAAACCGUCUCCAUCCCAACUCAGACUCAAAGGUAAUGCUCUCGAUCCUUGCUUUCGUUCUUACUGGGUAAGAUUUUUGGUCCUUGUCAUGUUCAACCUGUAUUGAACCAGUACAUGCUUACCAAGGUAAGUAAGUGUUCAGUAAACGGCCUUUAUGUUGCAUUCACGUGAGUUGCACGUGGAGGCUUUAUCAGUAAAAAUAAUAGUAUAUGCAUUAGCAUUUAAAACCAGCACUUGUCUUUUAUUUGGCAAAGUUGUCUUGUCCGUUUGCUAAUUGAGCUAUAGGUCUGAUACAAUAACGGAUUAUUACUAAGGGGCUGUUUGGUAGAUAUUGGAUUAGUUAGUGCAGAAUGAUUAAGUGAUCAUCAGAAUGACUAAAAGACUAUGAUUUAGUGUCGAAUUGAAAAUGAUUGUUUGGAAAUUGUACUUAAUUAAUAGUAUCAAUGACCUAAAAUUACCAUUUUACUCAGUCUUGUGUUUAGCUAACGUUUGACAAAAGCUUUGAAGGAAAUUUAUAAAUGAAUAAUAGUA